rnacentral:rRNA from 1 species
UGAAAUUUUUGUGUUUUAGGGGUUUUAGRAGUAGRUAGAAAAAAUAAUUUAUAGGAUUUUCUUUUGUAUUAGAGACUUUUGAAGUAGGUAUUAUUAAUGAGCAGUUUUGGCCUYGAAGAAUUUUAUUGUAAGUAAUAUUUGGGUAUGUACCUUUAGUAUCAGGGUGUAUUAAAAUUUUAGAUAUAUUUUGUUAUCCCGAAAGAGAAUGAGUUACGUAGUUAGGUCCUUAUUGUGGUAAAAAUAUGGGUAAUAAUUAUGGUGGGAGUGAGAUGCUAUCCGUAUUCUUAGAUAUCUGGUUUCUACAGAAAUUAUAGAGGUGGUCAUUAGCUUAAUUUGUUAAGUUGGUAGAAAAGUUGUCAGGGCUAAGCUUGGUAUCUUAYUUCUAUAUAAGUAUUGGGUUYUACUUAARCUAGGCUUAAAAGUAGCUUUUUGUUUUAUAACASAUUUGUUGUUUUGUAGUAUUAGUAAGUUAUGUGGAGGUUUCUAUAGGUAAUUAUAGGUGGUAACAAUGAUACGAUUAGUAGAGUUAGUUUUGAGUUUUGAGGUUAAGUAUAAAUGGURACGUAUAAAUUUUUUAGAUGUUGAAAAGGAACUCGGCAAAAUUAUUUUUUAACUGUUUAUCAAAAACAUUUCCUUAAGUUUUGUAGUUAAGGUAAGUUCUGCCCCCUG